rnacentral:rRNA from 1 species
GACGAACGCUGGCGGCGUGCCUAAUACAUGCAAGUCGAACGCUUCCUACCGGUGCUUGCACCGGGAAAGAAGAGUGGCGGACGGGUGAGUAACACGUGGGUAACCUACCUACAAGCGGGGGAUAACAUUCGGAAACGGAUGCUAAUACCGCAUAGAUCUUUUUGUCUCCUGGCAGAAAGAAGAAAGACGGUUUCGGCUGUCACUUGUAGAUGGACCCGCGGCGCAUUAGUUAGUUGGUGAGGUAAUGGCUAACCAAGACGAUGAUGCGUAGCCGACCUGAGAGGGUGAUCGGCCACACUGGGACUGAGACGCGGCCCAGACUCCUACGGGAGGCAGCAGUAGGGAAUCUUCCGCAAUGGACGAAAGUCUGACGGAGCAACGCCGCGUGAGUGAAGAAGGUUUUCGGAUCGUAAAACUCUGUUGUUAGAGAAGAACAAGGAUGAGAGUAACUGCUCGUCCCUUGACGGUAUCUAACCAGAAAGCCAUGGCUAACUACGUGCCAGCCGCCGCAGUAA